rnacentral:lncRNA from 1 species
AGCGGCGUUAAAAACCGAAAACAGGAACUGCUCAGUAGCGGCGAAGGCUUAGGCAAACAUCCUGAAAUCAGAAACUUUCUAAGCGAGAUCCCGGAAAUAGGAAAUUACGCUGCUCUCUCAAAUCGGACGGGUAUUUCUUUCGAUAGUAGCUUCGAAAAUGAAGGUCAGAGGGCUCAGCUGGUGAAGACGUACGGAACGCCUCAACGGGGCGACUCUGAUUUAAGCAGACGCUCGGGCCCGAUUCCUGGGGAAGGAGCAGCGACCUGGUUUGGCCGGAAGGAACGCGGAACGGGAGAGAAAAGCGGUCGAAGGCGAGAGCCGAGCUCGCCCCUUAACGGGCCUUUGAGCGGCGACACCUCUUCCCUCUCAGUAAUAAGGGAGCUGCCGGGAAUGGGAUUUCAUUCCCUACGUAUAUGCGGACGUCCGUCUGCACCGGUCGCUCGGGGCUUCUCUUUUCAGGUGAAUCGCCCCGGAAAAAGCCGCUGUCUCGUCUCGCUAGACGCUGCCUCCUUUAGGAGCAACUUGCAUGUUGUAUAAUUAGGGAGCCAAAGCCCAAACUGUUUAAAUUUCCUCCGACAGCAGCCUCCGUGUGGGGAAAACACGAUUUCUUUCCCGCUUUCGUAUCCCAGCGCGUGUUGUCAUAUCACCGGGGUUGUGUUAAAGUAUUUCUGUGCUAACGUUGGAGCCAGCAACGCCGCCGGCUCUGCUCGCGAAACCCAGCCUGAAGCUUAGUCCAGCUUGUUUCCAGGUUCUCCGGCAGAAACGGAGUCCGCUGCUUGAUUUCCGUGAAAACACUUGCCACCGCACCAAAGCCUCGACCGUCUUUUCGCUUCUGCGUCGCGCCGGCAUGAAUAAACAGUCUAAAGUAGCUGUGGUUAGACA